rnacentral:misc_RNA from 1 species
GCCCAUUACGGGUAUCAGCCCCGGCAACCUGCCCACGGUCUCCGAGUGUCACCUGCCGGCCUGCGCGCACACACACACACACAUACAUACACACACACACAGAGAGAAACGUACACACGUACGAACUCACAUACCCCAGGGGGAUUGUUGGGGAGGUGAGUCACUGGCAUCAGGAGUAUUAAGCCUGCAUCCGCUGCUGCGUCCUGGUAGAACGUCCCCAGCUAGCGAGGUGGUGUGACUGCUCUCAAGCCUCUCCCUCCCGGACACAUAUCAGCUCUGACACUACUCCUUCCUCGACUCGAUGGAUAAUUACCGGAGCACCAAAGUCAACCGCUACUGGAAGCGACCCAAACCCAAGGUGUACGACUGUAACGUGCGAGAUGCAGAGCGUUUUUACCAAGAUUCUUACAAACGUUAUCUAUCAGAAAAAGAGGAAGCAGCUGCCAGAGCUGCGAGGGCAAGGUCUAUAGACACGGAUAAGGUCGAGUUCUACCCUCAUUUACGAGCAGGUCCUAUCAGGCGUGAGGCUUCAGGCAGGUCUUCCGCUAGUCACAGUGAACUUCCUCCCCUUCCUCCCUCCCUGUCUGAAGGCCUAAGGUCCCGCCUUGAUUCCGAGCGUUCUGCAACGGAAACCAGUUUUACCAAUCGUAUUGAUGGUCUUCCUUCAUAUGAUCCUUCACAGGAUUCUCUGAACCUCGAUGAACGACUGAACCGGCUCAAAAAACUGAGGGAAGAACUCGGUCUGCCUUCUGAGGCAUCAUCUGUUGCUUCCUCAUUAAGAAGCGAGUCUGCUUCUCGCUCCGCUGCUGGUGGCCCCACCGACUUUGAGAGCUCCUACAAAUCCGACCGAACCACUCGUUCACUUGCUAAAGCCGCUCCCGAAGAAACAUCGACCUAUAACUUCAAAUCCGAGAAGUCCUCUCGGAUGAAUGGCACCGGCGGCUUAGGCGAAGAUUAUAAAUUUAAGUCUGAGCGCAGCACUGGUGAUUAUAAGUUUAAAUCAGACAGCACCACCGGCGACUACAAGUUGCCGACUAGGUCGGUGGACUUUGAACUCCCCAAAAUAGAACGAAAGCCGCUGAAUCUUUCCCCCAAAUUAGAUCGAAAGAAGAAUGACUAUUCUUUCUCCUCCUCAUCAGAGAAGAAAGCGGAUCGAUUUUCUAGCCUGUCAUCAUCAACUGCCGCUUCCUCAUCGGCCACUACAGCAGGUCGCAGCAGCCGCAAGGCUAAAGACAACCUGGAAAUCGACGAUGACGACACCUCCGUGGUAGAUAUGAUGAAGAAGCUGCCUUCUUCUCAGGACAUCCUCGAACGUAUCAGCAAAAUGGAUCUGGAUGACUGACUGGAGGACAUAAUUGACACCAAACUUUGAUUGGUACAACGAGAGACAACAUGAAGCCGCCAGCAUGGAUGAAAAGAAGAAGUGGAAGAGGAAGCUGCCUUAUCGCAUCUAUGACUACAACUACAGGGUCGGCGAGAGCUACUACAACCCGCAAACCGACUACAUCGAGAACCGUGAACUGCUGCGGUCCAAACAACAGCCUCCCGAAGCCGCCUCCUACGCUGAACGC